GACGAACGCUGGCGGCGUGCCUAACACAUGCAAGUGGAGCGACGAACCAGGCUUCGGCCUGGGGCAAAGCCGCGAACGGGUGAGUAACACGUGGGUAACCUGCCCCGAUGACCGGGACAACCCGAGGAAACUCGGGCUAAUACCGGAUGUGCUCCUCGCACGGAAGUGCGCGGAGUAAAGGAAGCUUCGGCCUCCGCUUCGGGAGGGGCCCGCGGCCCAUUAGCUAGUUGGUGAGGUAACGGCUUGCCAAGGCAACGAUGGGUAGCUGGUCUGAGAGGACGAUCAGCCACACUGGGACUGAGACACGGCCCAGACUCCUACGGGAGGCAGCAGUGGGGAAUCUUGCGCAAUGCGCGAAAGCGUGACGCAGCAACGCCGCGUGGGGGAAGAAGGCCUUCGGGUUGUAAACCCCUUUCAGGAGGGACGAAGGCACGGCGGUGAACAGCCGUCCGUGCUGACGGUACCUCCAGAAGAAGCCCCGGCUAACUACGUGCCAGCCGCCGCCGUAAUAC
rnacentral:rRNA from 1 species